GACGCCGUGGCUCAGGUGGUUAGAGCACCUGUCUCGUAAACAGGGGAUCGGGAGUUCGAAUCUCUCCGACGUCA